GAUGAACGCUGGCGGCGUGCUUAACACAUGCAAGUCGAACGGGAAACCUUUUAUUGAAGCUUCGGCAGAUUUAGCUGGUUUCUAGUGGCGGACGGGUGAGUAACGCGUGGGUAACCUGCCUUAUACAGGGGGAUAACAGUCAGAAAUGGCUGCUAAUACCGCAUAAGCGCACAGAGCUGCAUGGCUCAGUGUGAAAAAGUCCGGUGGUAUAAGAUGGACCCGCGUUGGAUUAGCUGGUUGGUGGGGUAACGGGCCACCAAGGCGACGAUCCAUAGCCGGCCAGAGAGGGUGAACGGCCACAUUGGGACUGAGACACGGCCCAGACUCCUACGGGAGGCAGCAGUGGGGAAUAUUGCACAAUGGGGGAAACCCUGAUGCAGCGACGCCGCGUGAAGGAAGAAGGAUCUCGGUAUGUAAACUUCUAUCAGCAGGGAAGAUAAUGACGGUACCUGCAGAAGAAGCCCCGGCUAACUACGUG
rnacentral:rRNA from 1 species